rnacentral:rRNA from 1 species
GAUGAACGCUGGCGGCGUGCCUAAUACAUGCAAGUCGAGCGAACAGACGAGGAGCUUGCUCCUCUGACGUUAGCGGCGGACGGGUGAGUAACACGUGGAUAACCUACCUAUAAGACUGGGAUAACUUCGGGAAACCGGAGCUAAUACCGGAUAAUAUAUUGAACCGCAUGGUUCAAUAGUGAAAGACGGUUUUGCUGUCACUUAUAGAUGGAUCCGCGCCGCAUUAGCUAGUUGGUAAGGUAACGGCUUACCAAGGCAACGAUGCGUAGCCGACCUGAGAGGGUGAUCCGCCACACUGGAACUGAGACACGGUCCAGACGCCUACGGGAGGCAGCAGUAGGGAAUCUUCCGCAAUGGGCGAAAGCCUGACGGAGCAACGCCGCGUGAGUGAUGAAGGUCUUCGGAUCGUAAAACUCUGUUAUUAGUGAAGAACAAAUGUGUAAGUAACUAUGCACGUCUUGACGGUACCUAAUCAGAAAGCCACGGCUAACUACGUG